rnacentral:rRNA from 1 species
UCCCGCAAGGGACUUGAGUCGAGGUGCUGCAUGGCUGUCGUCAGCUCGUGUCGUGAGAUGUUGGGUUAAGUCCCGCAACGAGCGCAACCCUUGCCCUGUUUUGCCAUCAUUCAGUUGGGAACUAUCAGGGGACCGCCAGCGAUAAGUUGGAGGAAGGUGGGGAUGACGUCAAGUCAUCAUGGCCUUUAUGUCCAGGGCUACACACGUGCUACAAUGGCCGGUACAAUGCGCUGCCAACCCGCGAGGGGAGCAAAUCGCAAAAACCGUUACUCAGUUCGGUAUCGCAGGCUGCAACUCGCCUGCGUGAAGCUGGAAUCGCUAGUAAUGGCG